rnacentral:rRNA from 1 species
CGGGGGGGGCAAGCGUUGUUCGGAAUUACUGGGCGUAAAGGGCGCGUAGGCGGUUUGCUAAGUUGGAUGUGAAAACUCUGGGCUUAACCCAGAGCCUGCAUCCAAAACUGGCAGGCUAGAGUUUUGGAGGGGGAAGCGGAAUUCCUGGUGUAGCAGUGAAAUGCGUAGAUAUCAGGAGGAACACCGGUGGCGAAGGCGGCUUCCUGGACAAAAACUGACGCUGAGGCGCGAAAGCUAGGGGAGCAAACAGGAUUAGAUACCCUGGUAGUCCUAGCCCUAAACGAUGGAUACUUGCUGUGAGGGGGAUUGAAUCCCUUCGUGGCGAAGCUAACGCAUUAAGUAUCCCGCCUGGGGAGUACGGUCGCAAGGCUG